GGCAGGCACUGGCCCGGAGGCUGCCACAGAAACACCGAAGAUGACUCCUGGGUCCUGGGCCCUGGUCCUGCCUGCUGGGCCUCAGGGAUAAGUUUGGUUACAGAUGCCG